rnacentral:rRNA from 1 species
UACGUAGGGGGCAAGCGUUGUCCGGAUUUAUUGGGCGUAAAGAGCUCGUAGGCGGUCUGUCGCGUCGGAUGUGAAAACCCAGGGCUCAACCCUGGGCCUGCAUUCGAUACGGGCAGACUAGAGUAUGGCAGGGGAGACUGGAAUUCCUGGUGUAGCGGUGAAAUGCGCAGAUAUCAGGAGGAACACCAAUGGCGAAGGCGGCACUCUGGGACGUGACUGACGCUGAGACGCGAAAGCGUGGGGAGCAAACAGG